GGCUAUGUGGCUCAGUGGUAGAGCGUUUCCUUUCGGUCCUGGCGGCGGCGGCACCAUCCUUACAGACGGCGGCGGCGGCACCAACCCUACAAACCACUGGAAAAGGUCCUCGGUUCGAUCCCGAGCAUGGCCA